GACCAAGGAGUCUUACUCGUGCGCGAGUCGCAGGGUCUUGUUUAGGCCCCGUGGCGAAGCGAAAGCGAAGCCGCGACUUCCGAUGAUCACCCGCACUCAGGGAGAGAGGAAGGAAAGCAGCGGCGACCCGGCGGUUCGGUCGGACCCGUUCGCCGCCCCUCACGGGGGCCGCCGGACGUCCGGCUCGUCGGAGUCUGAGCGCACGGGUCGGUACCCGAAAGAUGGUGAACUAUGCCUGGCCAGGGCGAAGCCGGAGGAAACUCCGGUGGAGGCCCGAAGCGGUUCUGACGUGCAAAUCGAUCGUCGGAGCGGAGUAUAGGGGCGAAAGACUAAUCGAACCAUCUAGUAGCUGGUUCCCUCCGAAGUUUCCCUCAGGAUAGCUGGCAUUCGAUCAAAGCAGUCUCUUCUCGUAGAGAGAAUGAAUAGAGGCCCUGGGGCCCUAGACGACCUCAACCUAUUAUCAAACUACUACGAGGUGC
rnacentral:rRNA from 1 species